rnacentral:rRNA from 1 species
GAUGAACGCUAGCUACAGGCUUAACACAUGCAAGUCGCAGGGUAACAUGAGGAAAGCUUGCUUUCCUUGAUGACGACUGGCGCACGGGUGAGUAACGCGUAUCCAACCUUCCCAUAACUACGGGAUAACCCGUUGAAAGACGGCCUAAUACCGUAUGAUAUCGUUUGCUGACAUCAAAUAACGAUUAAAGGUUUAGCGGUUAUGGAUGGGGAUGCGUCUGAUUAGCUUGUUGGCGGGGUAACGGCCCACCAAGGCGACGAUCAGUAGGGGUUCUGAGAGGAAGGUCCCCCGCAUUGGAACUGAGACACGGUCCAAACUCCUACGGGAGGCAGCAGUGAGGAAUAUUGGUCAAUGGGCGAGAGCCUGAACCAGCCAAGUAGCGUGCAGGACGACGGCCCUAUGGGUUGUAAACUGCUUUUAUGUGGGGAUAAAGUGCGUGACGUGUCAUGCAUUGCAGGUACCACAUGAAUAAGGACCGGCUAAUUCCGUG